UUUUAUGAGAGUUUGAUCCUGGCUCAGGACGAACGCUGGCGGCGUGCCUAAUACAUGCAAGUCGUACGCUUCUUUUUCCACCGGAGCUUGCUCCACCGGAAAAAGAAGAGUGGCGAACGGGUGAGUAACACGUGGGUAACCUGCCCAUCAGAAGGGGAUAACACUUGGAAACAGGUGCUAAUACCGUAUAACAAUCGAAACCGCAUGGUUUUGAUUUGAAAGGCGCU
rnacentral:rRNA from 1 species